rnacentral:misc_RNA from 1 species
AUUGGAUCAUCUAUCACGCUCAUCGCAGUGGCGUUCGAUCGGUAUUACAGGAUCUGCAAACUCGGUCGCCAGAUAUCAGUGAGAAAGUCCAAGAUAAUUUGUGUGGUUGCUGUUGUUGUAGGAGUUCUCUCCUCGUGGCCCGCCUGUCUUCUCUUUGGUGAAAAGACGAUCGAACUCGGGAUUCCAGGCGUCAAAGGAGUCGACUGCUCGACGGACGAUUCCGUCAGACACACCAUUUACCCUACACUUUAUUAUGGUUUUCUUUUUCUUUUGUUUAUAUUGUGUUUAGUGUUUUUCACCGUUAUCUAUGCAAAAAUCGGUGCAGUGAUUUGGAAACGUAAAAAGGCCAAAAUCGGCGAAACAAUUCCAAGCUCUCCAAAUGGCCGUGCUUUGAACAAUUCGAACACUCCAUCAGACCAGAUUUCCACUGAUCCAAUCAGCACGGAAAUGUCGUCUGAACAAGAUGGCUACAACGACAAGCGAGCGUCCAGUGACUCUAAACAAGCGCUCGGCAAGAGGCCGUCCAGGAACAGCGUGCGCGUUACCAGGACAACCGUCGUGCUGUUUGCCGUGACGGUUGCUUACGUCAUCAGUUUUCUGCCGUUCCUCAUUGUGAUGGUGGUGAGAAGCGUUGUAAAGAACUUCGAGGAAAACCUCAGUCCCGAGGCCGAGGUGGCCUACAAAUUUUGCUCCAAGUCUUACUUUAUCAACAACGCCAUUAACCCCGUGAUCUACAGUUUUCUUAACAUUAACUUCCGGAAAGACAUUAAAACCAUUUUCAGAAAGUGCUGUUCCGCAUGCUGUGGUUGUCGGAAUUGAAUUUCGUGACAAUCGUGUUUCAUUAACAGUGCUUUGCACGUUGUCCAUUUCUACUAAAGGGGGUUUUUCCCAUCACUUGUACAUACUUGUUUAAGAAAAGGCAUAAUACAUUUGUUGUUGAAAACUUAAUAAAAUUACUAAAAG